GGGGAAUAUUGCACAAUGGGGGAAACCCUGAUGCAGCGACGCCGCGUGGAGGAAGAAGGUCUUCGGAUUGUAAACUCCUGUUGUUGGGGAAGAUAAUGACGGUACCCAACAAGGAAGUGACGGCUAACUACGUGCCAGCAGCCGCGGUAAAACGUAGGUCACAAGCGUUGUCCGGAAUUACUGGGUGUAAAGGGAGCGCAGGCGGGAAGACAAGUUGGAAGUGAAAUCUAUGGGCUCAACCCAUAAACUGCUUUCAAAACUGCUGGCCUUGAGUAGUGCAGAGGUAGGUGGAAUUCCCGGUGUAGCGGUGGAAUGCGUAGAUAUCGGGAGGAACACCAGUGGCGAAGGCGACCUACUGGGCACCAACUGACGCUGAGGCUCGAAAGCAUGGGUAGCAAACAGGAUUAGAUACCCUGGUAGUCCAUGCCGUAAACGAUGAUUACUAGGUGUUGGAGGAUUGACCCCUUCAGUGCCGCAGUUAACACAAUAAGUAAUCCACCUGGGGAGUACGACCGCAAGGUUGAAACUCAAAGGAAUUGACGGGGGCCCGCACAAGCAGUGGAGUAUGUGGUUUAAUUCGAAGCAACGCGAAGAACCUUACCAGGUCUUGACAUCCGAUGCAUAGUGCAGAGAUGCAUGAAGUCCUUCGGGACAUCGAGACAGGUGGUGCAUGGUUGUCGUCAGCUCGUGUCGUGAGAUGUUGGGUUAAGUCCCGCAACGAGCGCAACCCUUAUUGCCAGUUACUACGCAAGAGGACUCUGGCGAGACUGCCGUUGACAAAACGGAGGAAGGUGGGGAUGACGUCAAAUCAUCAUGCCCUUUAUGACCUGGGCUACACACGUACUACAAUGGCGUUUAACAAAGAGAAGCAAGACCGCGAGGUGGAGCAAAACUCAGAAACAACGUCUCAGUUCGGACUGCAGGCUGCAACUCGCCUGCACGAAGUCGGAGUUGCUAGUAAUCGCGGAUCAGCAUGCCACGGUGAAUACGUUCCCG
rnacentral:rRNA from 1 species